AAUAAAUGGACGCAAUAAUAGAUCAACUUUUAACGAUCCUUUUAUAAUGGUAAUUUAAAUUGUAUUUGCUGCGCAUUGAGUAUCUAUAAUUAAGUUGGUAUUCCUUAUACUAUCACGUAUUUUAUUGUGAAAGAAUUUGUACACACGUAGAAUACGAGAAAAGAUGAUACGAGCCGUGAAUGCGAAAUUUGUUGUAAUUCACAUCAAACAAUAAGCAGACAGAGCCUUCUCCAAGUUCAAUGCGACGGAUCGUGUUGGUCUAUAAAACAGCGGCAAGCAUCCAGCAUCACUUCAUUGCGAGAGUGUACUUCUUACCGCGAGUACAGCUCAAAUUUUUUCGUAAGUCCGAAAAAAAAGAAAAAAAAAGAAAAAAAGAAAAAUGUAAAUAGUUGGAUAUUGCGUAAAAACAAAUUCUUGCCGGUUCAGUCAAUUACGUUUGAGCAACGAAGAAAAGUUGAAGGAGGAAGUGUCGCUAAUCAAUUUGUUCAGAAAGUGUGAAUUUCGAAAGUAAAAAUACAAGACGACCGAAUACACAUUAUACGUGAUAUUCCGUUAGUUCUUAAAGCGAAGAAUUUCGAAAUAGCGCAAACAAAAUGAAAAUUUUGUUCAUAUUUUUAUUGUUGAUUGCCGCUGGGUCUGCAGCCCCUUGGGUUGAAAUUCUUUUCGGUAAACAACCAGAUUAUGAUUAUCAACUACCACCGAGUUACAAGAAUCAGCAAUACAGACGGCGACAAGGGAAAGCAGGGAAGGAAAGAUGGAAAGAAAUUUGUAGGACGAUAAAUCCCAAUCCUUACGCAUUUCCGGGUCAAGUUCCCUAUCCUUCUGCACCAGUUUGUCCUUGGUAACCAGAUAAAUUUGUUUAACGAAGGCAUGAAGUAUGAACGAUUGAACUACAUAUACAAAUCCAUUAAAAAUAUGAAUUUAUUGUAACAAUAUAUCAGGGAAUACGAAGAUAUUCGCUGGUUAUGAGUAUUUCAGUCGGUAUACAAGUUUACUAUGUAUAACCAAUGACAUGAAAGUACGCAGUCGUAUAUACCUGCCGAUAUAAAUUAUAUAUCAGGGGAUUCUGUUAACGAUACUUUUUUGUACAUUAAUCGUAUGCGUUAGUACAUUUUCCUUUGUAUUAUGUCCACAUAAUUAGUUAUUGUUAUCACGCUAUCUAAAACUAAAUGUCAUUGAUUUACCGUCUUUGUAUAUUACAGUACAACAAGCUCUCUUUCUCCUUUCUAUUUUACGUAGAAAAAUAAAUCAUUUAUAUUUCACAAGAA